CUGCUGUGUACAGUGCCCAGUGAGGAAGUUUCAUCAGUUAAGUAAUGUUUCCGGAACAGUGUUGCAGAACACUCUAGAAGAGGUGGUAACUGCCCCUUGAAAAGAAGCUGUUAGGCCAUUUCAGAUCCAUUAAUGGGGCACUGUAAAGCAUUCCUCCUUUUGAUAGCCUGAAAGAUUUAUGUGGAGAUAGUUCAGGAGAUUCUACUUAUUACCUAAGCUUUUUCUUUUCAGGUAGCUCCAAAGAACGGCAUCCUCGGGAGAUUUACAGCCAUACUUCGUGCUUGGUGACAAGCCACAGCACAAGGUUCUUUCACCUCACAACAGACAAUGUUCAUGUGCCAAACUGAUACCCUUCACAACAGCUCUCACUAAUGUGAGUAGUGAUUAAUCCUGGGUGACAGACUUCAGCAGGACCUGGCUUCAUUACAAUGGCAGAAGGUAUUUACUGUGAAAAUAAUACGCAUGUA